CGGCAAAAGAAUAGGACUGAUGUCUAUUUUAAUGACACUGGAACAAUACCCGUGGUACUUUAUCUAAAACUGAAUGCAGCAUCCUCACUGAAUGAACAAUAAUAGACAAAAUGCUGUAAAACAUGAACAUGGUUUUAUCUAAUAUAAGCACAAUAGGAGGAGCAAAGUUGGAGAGAUGUUUAAUUCUGCCGAAUUAUUGUUUGUAGUACUGCAAAUUUUUUUUUACAAAUUUUGCAGUUCCCUCCAGCAUACAAAGGGUUGAGUUAUGAUUUGGGCAGAUGUGAAUGUUUAACGUUACAAACACACAGUCCAGAAAUGUACUGUUACAUGGUCUAAUAAUAAUAAUAAUAGUAUUAAAAAAAUCUUAUUUUUUUAAUCGGCUUUUGAAUAUCUUUGGAGGCUUUGUGGACAAUUCCACUCAAGCUUGUGAUAUAAAUAUUCAGUUUUACAUUGUGGAUUUAAAACUGAUC